GAUGAAGAACGCAGCGAAAUGCGAUACUUGGUGUGAAUUGCAGAAUCCCGUGAACCAUCGAGUUUUUGAACGCAAGUUGCGCCCGAAGCCAUUAGGCCGAGGGCACGCCUGCCUGGGCGUCACACGUCGUUGCCCCCCCAUCUACUCCUUCGGGAUUGCGGGGGGCGGAUGAUGGCCUCCCGUGCGCCUCGUCGCGCGGUUGGCAUAAAUGCCAAGUCCUCGGCGACACACGCCACGACAAUCGGUGGUUGCGAAACCUCGGUUGCCCGUCGUGUGCGGUCGUCGCGCAUCGAGGGCUCGAAAAAAUUGCCGGGCUCCGGCUCGGCUUUCAACGCGACCCCAGGUCAGGCGGGGUUACCCGCUGAAUUUAAGCAUAUCAAUAAGCGGAGGA
rnacentral:misc_RNA from 1 species